rnacentral:rRNA from 1 species
AAUAUAUAUAUUACUUAUAAUUUUAUUAAUUUUUAUUAAAUAAGAAUAAUUUAUUUUUUAGUAUAGUUUAUUGAAAUUAUUAUUUUAUAGUUAUAGUUUAUUUAUUACUGUUAAGGAAAAUUAUUUAUUUUAUGUUAGUAUAUUUAAUUUAUAGUACCUUUUGUAUCAGGGUUUAUUAAUUUUAUAUUAAUUAUUUAAUUUUCCCGAAAUUAAAAGAGAUACAAUAUAAUGUUAGUUUAUAUAUCAUAAUAAUUAUAAAUUUUAUUGUAGAAGUGAUAUUCUAUUCAAUUUUAAAUAUCUGGUUUCUUAAUAAAUGAAUUUAAUUCAUGUAACUUUUAGUUAUUUUAUAUUUUUAUUUUUUAUAAUUAAAGUUGCUAAUAUUAUUGGGGAUAAGCUCAAUUUUAUUUUUAUAAUUUAUUUAUUUAUUGAAUUGUUGUAGGUUUAGAAACAGCCAACAUUGAUUUCGUUAUAGUUCAUUUUCAUAUUUUAUUUAUUUUUAGAAAAUUUAAUUUAUUAUUAAGAUUUAUAAUUUAAUUAUUUAUUUUUAGAAAUUAUGAUGAAAUUAGUAGUUUAGUAUAUUUAAAUAUAAUAAUUCGGCAAUUUAAAUCUUCGCCUGUUUAACAAAAACAUGUCCUAUAGAAUUAAUUUUAGGUCUAACCUGCCCAAUGAAUAUAUUUUAAUGGCCGCAGUAUUUUAAUUGUGCAAAGGUAGCAUAAUCAUUUGUCUUUUAAUUGGAGGCUAGAAUGAAUGGUUGGACGAGAGAUUUACUUUUUUUAUUUAAAUUUUAUGAAUUUAAUUUUUUAGUCAAAAAGCUAAAAUUUUUUUGUAAGACGAGAAGACCCUAUAGAAUUUUAAUGUUAAUUUAUCAUUAAUUUAAUAUGUCUUAGAUUAUUUUAAUGUAAUUAAAUAUUUUUGUUGGGGUGACAGUGAAAAUUAAACAACUUUCAUUAAUUUAUAUUCAUUAAUUCGUGUAUAAUUGAUCCUUUAUUAUGGAUUAAAAGAUUAAAUUACCUUAGGGAUAACAGUGUAAUUCUUUUGGAGAGUUCAUAUCGAUAAAUGGAGUUUGCAACCUCGAUGUUGGAUUAAAGUGGGUGUUGGGUGUAAAAGCUUAAUUACUAAGUCUGUUCGACUUUUAAAUCUUUACAUGAUCUGAGUUCAGACCGGCGUGAGCCAGGUUGGUUUCUAUCUUCAAAUGUUUUAUAACAUUUUAGUACGAAAGGACCAAAUGUUGAUAAUAUUUAUUAAUUUUUGAGGUUUAUUA